GGAAUAUUGGGCAAUGGGCGAAAGCCUGACCCAGCAACGCCGCGUGAAGGAAGAAGGCUUUCGGGUUGUAAACUUCUUUUACCAGGGACGAAGGACGUGACGGUACCUGGAGAAAAAGCUCCGGCUAACUACGUGCCAGCAGCCGCGGUAAUACGUAGGGAGCAAGCGUUGUCCGGAUUUACUGGGUGUAAAGGGCGUGUAGGCGGAGACGCAAGUCAGGGGUGAAAUCCCCGGGCUCAACCCGGGAACUGCUUUUGAAACUGCGUCCCUUGAGUAUCGGAGAGGCAGGCGGAAUUCCUAGUGUAGCGGUGAAAUGCGUAGAUAUUAGGAGGAACACCAGUGGCGAAGGCGGCCUGCUGGACGACAACUGACGCUGAGGCGCGAAAGCGUGGGGAGCAAAC
rnacentral:rRNA from 1 species